GAACUAGGGCCGUGCAAAUUUUGGUUCAAACCGUUAACCCAAACCGAUAAUAUGUUUAUCGGGUUACUGAUUCAUUUUUUUGCUCUAUCGAGUCGGGUUUUGGGGCAAAGAUUCUUGAAAUUGGGUUAUCGGUUCGGGCCUCGGUUUAUUUACCCUUUUAAUCGGGUGGCACGAUAACCCGAUAUCCUGAUAUAACAAUACAGUAUACAUAACUGCUGAGGCCAUUUAUUCAUUUCCCAUUAAUGUCAUUACCAUUUACUAUCCGGCCUAAAGGCCCAAUAACACAAUAGCCACUUUAAUUCUAUCAGUGAAUAAGUCAUUUAUCAAUAAGUGAAUUAGCGAGAAACCACUUAAGGAGUUAGGGUUUUUUCACAAUUCAUAUUUCACAAACAUAGAAACACUCUUGCGGCUUCUCUUGCUCAGUUUCUCUCUUAGUGGUGCCUCUCCUCGUCAGUACUCAGUCAGUCGUCUCUCACUCUCAAGCCUCAAUAUUCACACGAAGAAGAGGUGUUCAAGCUCACACCAAAGAGAUAAAGACGAUUUGCUGCACUCAACAGUCACGUCGAUACAACUAGAUGGCACAAAAUACUAGAGUUGAUAAAGUGAUUGGUGAGAGUGUAGCUUCUGAUUCGAAUGUAGUUGAGUCUAAAGCAAAGAAAGAAAGGAAAAAAAGAUCUGUUGCGUGGAAUCAUUUUACUAGUAAAGUUGAUUCGGAAGGAAUUAAAAAGGGUGUGUGUAAUUAUUGUAAACAAGAGUAUUUGGCUGAUACAAAAGAACAUGGUACAACGACAAUGCUUGAUCAUAUAAAAAGAUGUUAAAAAUUGCCUCAUAAUGUUGAUACAAAGCAAUGAAAGAUAGCAUUUUUGCCGGUUGCAGAGGGUAACAAGGGUGAUGUAUCAAUUUUUUCAUAGAAAUUUGAUCAAGAAGAAUGCAGAAAAGCUUUAUGUCGUAUGAUAAUUCUUGAUGAGCUUCCUUUUAGAUUUGUUGAAAAAGAAGGCUUUAGAUAAUUUAUGAAAGUGGUACAACCUUUGUUUUGAAUUCCUUCUCGUACAACUGUUACUCGUGAUUAUUUUGAUCUCUUUGAUGAAGAAAAAAAUAAAAUGAGGAGCAUUUUUAAGGAAACCCAACAAAGAGUGUGUAUAACGACUGAUACUUGGACUUCUAUUCAAAGAAUCAAUUAUAUGUGUAUUACUGCUCGUUGGAUUGAUAAAAAUUGGACUUUGCAUAAAAGAAUCAUCAAUUUUUGUCCAAUUUCUAGCCAUAGAGGUGAAGAUAUAGUGAAGGGCAUUAUUAAGUGUUUGCAUGAGUGGGGAUUGCAUCGAAUUUUCACGGUUACUGUUGAUAAUGCUAGUUCAAAUAGUGUGUGUGUGAUUGAGUUGUCUAAGCAAUUGACUAAGUGGGGGACCAAUCUUAUGGUUGGUAAACAUCUUCAUGUUAGGUGUAUGGCGCAUAUCAUAAACCUUGUCGUUCAUGAUGGUAUAAAAGAAGCAACUAUUUCUAUUGAACGAAUUAGGCAAGCAGUGAGAUACAUUAGGCAAUCUCCUGCUAGAUGGAAGAGCUUUAAGGAAUAUUAUGAAGAUGAAAAUCUUGCAAAAAAUGUGGUUUGGCAUAUCAUCUCGAGUUUGGCCAAAAAAGGUGGAAUUCCACCUAUUUGAUGUUGAACAGGGCUAUUGAAUAUAAGGGUGCAAUUUUGAAUAAUGCUGAUAGUGAUAUUAGUUUGGCACAUCAUCUCGAGUUUGGCCAUAUCCGUGUGUGUGAUGGUGAUAGUGAUAUUGUGGAUGAAGAACAACCUGCAGGUACACUUUUGAGUAGUGAUUGGGAUAGCAUUAAAAUAAUUACAAAAUUUCUUGAAUUAUUUUUUAAGCUCACUUUGAAGGUUUCUGGAUCAUUGUAUAUUACAUCAAAUAUUCAUUUUCUUGAAAUUUGUCAAGUUGGUUUUUGCUUGACAAAAUUGAUAUCAAGUGAUGAUCGUGUAUUAGCUCACAUGGCAACAAACAUGAAGAAGAAAUUUGAAAAAUAUUGGGGUGAUCCAACAAAAAUGAACAAGAUGCUUUUUAUAUCUUGUGUUUUGGAUCCUCGUCACAAAUUUACCACUCGUAGUUUUGCACUUAAGAAGAUGUUUGGGGAUAAUGCACCAACUAUAGAAAAAGAUGUGCGAGAGUACAUGAAAUCAUUGUUUAAUGAGUAUUCAUCGUCUGCUUCAAAAGACAAAGGUGGUAGUUCUUCAGAAGUACAGGCUUCUAGUUCAAGCUCUUUGAUUGAUGUUGAUGACUUUUAUGAGGAGUUGAGUAGACGCACGUCUGAAAGUGUAGCCGGAAAUUCUAAGUCGGAGUUGGAUAAGUAUCUUGCAGAAGAUAUUGAAGCUGGAACGUCUGAUUUUAGUGUAUUACUUUGGUGGAAAUAUAAUUAGGCUAGAUUUCCUUUUCUUUCUGAAAUGACUCGUGAUGUUUUAGCUGUUCCUAUUUCUAGUGUAGCAUUAGAAUGUGCUUUUAGUACCGGGGGGCGUGUUCUUGAUUCAUUUAGGAGUUCAUUAACUCCUAAAUUGAUAAAAGCUCUAGUGUGUCUACAAGAUUGGCUUCAAAGUGAAUCACAGCCUAUAAGUAUCGAGGAGGAUUUAGAUUCUCUUGAGCAACUUGAACAAGAUUUGGCCAAAGUUGGAAAAGAUCCUUGCAAUAGCAUUGAUGAAAUAUUAGCAACUUGAACAAGGUUUCACCAUGUCUCAAAGUCAUGGUCCUAAAGUUCGAUCACCUGUUUGGAAUCACUAUGAAAAGCUUGAAGAGGAUGAUGAUGGGAGAUGCAAAGUGAAGUGUAUUCAUUGUGGUAAUGUUUAUAAUUACCAUCCACGACAUACUGGGACUUGGUGCUUGAGAGCUCAUGUUGAUCGUUGUUUGGAGAGGACGCAGUAUCGUGCUCGUAGUAUAAGACUUGAGUAAUAAUUAUUAUUAUUACUAUGUUUGUAAUUUGAACUUAAUUUUCAAAUUGAGUGACUGUUGCUUUGGAUUUUUCUAUUUUGUUUGUGCUAGACUUGUAGACUGUUUUUAAAUUAUGACUUUAUUUAAUUAGUUUGAAUUUUUUA